GCUGGGAGAAGAUAGGAGCCGUGCGGCCGAGCGCCUGCGCCAGGCCCUGCCAUACCUGCGGAGCCCACAGGAGCCCCUGCGAGAGGCGGCCGUCAGGUUCAUCGGGAUCGCCGGGCGCUACCUGACAGGGCAGCAGCCAGAGUUCCGGAUCAUCUGCAUGGCCCUUCAGGACAUGACGGAUGACACCAGCCCUGCCGUCUCAUGCCUGGCACUUCAAACUCUGUACAUCAAUUUAGCUGUACAGAGCAUUCCCUCCUCCCGACUCCAGAAGAUGCGAGACCAACUCCGCCAGCUCUGGAAGUCGCGGCCUUUCCUGUUUCACCGUGGCUGAGUGUCCUGCUGUGGCGCCGUGGAGAAGUGAUCCGGGAGGCUGCGUCUGCUGGGGCCACCUGAACCUGCGGGGAACACCUCUCCUCUGCAAGCACUUCCUUUCCCACCCUCUAUAGGAACAUUAAAUUGCUGUUGUCAUA